AUGCGUCAACGCCGUCAACUAUAAUGCCUAAACUUUCUACGCGGUUUUAAUCGUGAAAAAAAAACAAUUAUAAAUCCUGAAGGAUCAAUUAAUUGGUAUACACUUUAAUUAAAAAAAUUAAAAAAUAAAUAAAUAAAAUAAUGUGCAUUCGCGUAAAGUUAGCCCAAAUACAUUUUUUCCAUCCUCCUAUAUAUAUACCUAUCGCUAUGAAGGUAUAAAAAAGAUAGGUUAAGAGUUCACAUAGCUAGAAAACGACAUGGAGAAUUAUAUGCAAUACAAGAUAAUGAGCUCCAUCAAAUGAAUUCGAAUGAAACCAAACUGUUUACCAUCCAAAUUCGAUUGUCGGGCAGAUAGAAAACGAAAAUUCACUCAUAGUGAACCUCGGCCUGCAUUUGUGAAACGGCAAAGACUCACUAUUAUCAAGGAAAUUGAAGAGACGACUAAAAAUGAGAUGUGUCGUAUUAUUAUACCUUUGCCAUCUUGUAGUCAAGAUGUCCAGCCACUUGAAAAUAGGUGUAGUAAUGACAAAGCUAUCCAAGUAGCUCCAGCACAGGAACACAAAGGCAAGGCAAGUGUGUAUUGCCACAUCACCCCUUAAUAUAUCUGAAGCAAGUAUAAGUAAACAAUCAGAACCAGCAAAAAAAAAAACUGUUGUUCCUGAGGACAAAUUUGACAGUGAUGAGUCAAAUGCACCAGCAACAGAAGGAUCAACUGUUGACUAUGGGUUAUAGAAGAAGAAGAUUAAUUCAUAUUUAUUUAAAUUAAUAUUAAUGAAUAUUAAUUUAAAUUAUCGUGCAAAAUUCGUGGUCAAAACAUAUGUGUAUUUUAUAAAUAAAUAUUCAUUCUCAGUA